UACGAAGGGGGCUAGCGUUGCUCGGAAUCACUGGCGUAAAGGGUGCGUAGGCGGGUCUUUAAGUCAGGGGUGAAAUCCUGGAGCUCAACUCCAGAACUGCCUUUGAUACUGAGGAUCUUGAGUUCGGGAGAGGUGAGUGGAACUGCGAGUGUAGAGGUGAAAUUCGUAGAUAUUCGCAAGAACACCAGUGGCGAAGGCGGCUCACUGGCCCGAUACUGACGCUGAGGCACGAAAGCGUGGGGAGCAAACAGGG
rnacentral:rRNA from 1 species